AGACUGAGUUAACUUCACUGUGUUUGAACUGGGGAUCCUGUGUCCACGCUCUCUGCUCUCUUGUUAUCUUGGCUUUUUCUAGACUUUGCCUUUUAUCUAUAUAAACUCUUUUAAAUACCCUAUCACUAUUCUGUCACUUUUCUGCAUACUCUCAGUCUUUACUCUAAUUUUUUUGUCAAUUUUUUUUUUGUUUUUAUUUUUUUCUCUUUGUUUUUUUUCUUUUUUUUCCUGCUUCAUCUCCACUCUGAUUUUCUCCUAUACCUCCUUUCAGGUGAAAAGUGCCUUUUUCUCAGUGAAUAAGUGCUGCAGGUGAAAAGUGCCUGGUCAUUGUUUGGAAAACUAUAUAAGAAACCCAACUAUUUGAGAAUUGAUACAUUUGAGAUUUGAAACAUAUAAGACAUUCAACUGAUUGUGUGAUCAAACAUCUGGUGAAAAGUGCCGGGGGCAAAUAAGUGCCAAAAAUCUUGCUUGAUUCCAAAGAUACCAGAUUUUGGUUUUUGUGCAAAUAUUUAUAUUGUGUCUAAGUCUUAAGUCUAAAGAAUGCCUAGGAAGAAUCAGCGUUCCCAGUCCCAGAAGGCCCGCUGGAAGAACGUGAGAGAAGGUGCAGCUGCCGGUGAAAAAGAAGCUCCUCAGAUCGUGAACCUGGUAAACGUGUCUGCUGAGAGUCCAGAGGUCCUACAUGGUGGUCAACAAUUACAGAAAGGUUCAUGUGCUGAUGUUGUGAAGAAAGGACGUCACCCUGAUUGUUUGAGUGAAGUAGAAUGCAUUUCUGAUGGAGAUACUUUCUCAGCUGUAGUUCACCAUGAUGCUGCUCAUAAACCUCCAUUUGCUCAGAGACAGCAGGUACACCAGACUGAACCA